UCUUAUAUCUGACCAUGAAUACAUUACUGUCUAUAUGUUGUGCACUGAUCUGGAUUCCAUGUAUGUAUCAGUUCUGCUUAUUAGUCAUUUAUAAUGUUUACUCAGUUUGUUUCUCACAUGUAUUUUCACUCUCCUAGAUGCUGAAUCUCAGACACUAUUGCUUACACCAUCAAACCCUGCAGUGAAUGUUGGACAAAGUGUAACUUUUACCUGUAACGUUGGAGUUAAGGAUGGAGACUGGGUGCAUUUAUUAAAACAGAUCCCAGGAGAAGCUCCCCAGCUUAUUAUUUACAAUCACCAUUCAUUUUCUUCUCCAAGAUAUGGACCUGGAAUAUCUUCAGAUCGUUUUACUUCCUCCAUUAACAGUGCGGCAACAGAAUAUUACUUUACCAUUCGUAAAACAGAAAUAGCAGACACUGCUCGGUAUUAUUGUGUGAAGUGGUAUGGCAGUAAUACUGGAUUCCACCGUGCUACACAGUGUGACAAAAACAUUGUACUAUAUUACACUAUAUAACGUGAACUGUAUAAAGACAUUCAGUCAUGUUUCACUUCACAAGCUGCACCUGGCCCUAGCCGAUUCUUUAUACACAUGCUGAUUAUAACUAGUGUAUGUUUUGUAUUUUCUCCUAUAUUCAUACUGUUUAUUAAGAAAUAGAUUAGUCUAAAUGCAACAACCUAUUUGAUGUUGACAGUGUUUUGCUGCUGGUUUAUUCUUGACUUAGUUAAUAAAAAAAAAAAACCCAGAAAAUAUUACCAUUUUACAAUUAAAAAGUCUGGUGAAAUUACUUAAACAGAUUAAAUAAAAUCCAUUUUUUUUUCUUUUGCCAAAAAGAUAAUUAAUUAAAUAACCAAUAUAAGAACAAUUACUAAUGUAAUCAUCUUGUCACUAAUAUAUAUAGUGCUUCACCAUUACACCAGUGCGAAUCUGUGUGAAUAUAGAAACAUAGAAUGUGACGGCAGAUAAGAACAAUUCGGCCCAUCCAGUCUGCCCAAUUUUCUAAAUACUUUCAUUAGACCAUGGCCUUAUCUUAUAGUUAGGAUAGCCUUAUGCCUAUCCCACGCAUGCUUAAACUCCUUUACUGUGUUAACCUCUACCACUUUAGCUGGAAGGCUAUUCCAUGCAUCCACUACCCUCUCAGUAAAGUAAUCUUUGGAAGAUCAAAUUUUCUCACAGAGAUUAGAGCCAGUUGCUGUUCCUGAAAUCUGCUGUGUUCCUAAAGGUCUAUUUGGAUUCAAAAUGAGGUAGCAAUAGGAAUAUAAAUGUAUAAUAAAACUAAUCUCUACAUAUGAGCUGAAAAUGAAGUAUGUUAAUCAGGACCAGAGUGGGAAAAAAUUCAGCCCACUGAAGAGGAGGGUUUUUUUUCCUCACCAACCACAGCACACCCCCUCUCAAAGUGAGCAUGAAAGUUUAAUGCUCUUCCAGGGCAGCCCAUGCAUGGAGACCUGAUUAAGAGCCCUUGAAUGAGAAAAAAGGCCCUUUAUUUGUUCUGCGCAGUGCAAGAAAUGUUUUAUAUUGUAUAUUCCUGUGUAUAUCAGGAAUGUAGUGUGCGUGUAGGUAGUGCAGUGAGUAGAGGAUUCAGAGUUGUGUAUAGGAUCUAUUGUGCGUGUAAGGGGUGUGGAGUAUGUAUGAGAAGUGUGGUGUGUUUGAGGGGGUAGUAUGUGAGUGAGGGGUGCAUUGUGUGAAUGUGUUGGGAGAUAUUGUAUAUAGAUGGGGCAGAUAAAGGCCUAAAUAAAUAUAUGUUUUUUUCUAAUUAAAAAAAUAUACUUUAUUUCCCUCCUUUCUUACCUUUGCUCAGGGAGGGGGGAUACUGUAAGCUCUGGUGGUCUGAUGGUGAAUGAACUUUAUGCUUGCAGCUCUUCAGGCUAGAAUUCACUCUCACAAGAUCACAGUGUUGCCAUUGGUAACUGUGCCAAUGCUUCGACCUUGCGGGAAGAACCCGGCGGAACUACAGGCUAGAGCGACCUGGGUCCUCUACCCUCUCCUAUUUACCGUAUGUCAGUGCCAGUAAAUCGAUGAGGGAGGUUUUUUAUUUGCAAAAUGCAGAUUUCUCUUGAAAUCAGUACUUUUUUUUUUUUUUACGUAAUACAAAGGGGACAUGUAUACCCCCCAAAACACUUAACCUAUUCUGAACAGAAUUGAUUACUCAGUAUUCAGGCUCACCGCCCACAUAGUGUAAAAUUAAAGAAUGAAAUCUUCACUUCUGGAACAUCUUGAGUAAAUAGAAUAAACACAAGAAAAAGUCAGUUAGUGUAAUACAGAAAUUUUAAUAAAGUAUACACUAUCUGACUGUUUCUUCAGAUUAUUAAACGUUAUUAAACUUGCUGGUUCAGACUAUUUGUCUGUUUCUCAUCCUCAGCCACAUUGCCAUAGAUAUGAUCUACUUGCAUUUUGCCAAGACGUUCAAUACAGUUCCACACAAUAGGUUAGUUUUCAUACUAAAAUUGAUCUAGAUUGACAUUCUCAUUCUUGGGUAGAAUGUUGGCUUAAAGAUAGAGUACAGGAAAUUAUUUAUGGUAAUUUUUCAAGUUAGACAAAUGUAGUAAAUUGUGAACCUCAGGGUACUGUUCUGAGACCACUUCCAUACAACAUAUUUAUAAAUGAUCUUAAAAUAGGCAUUGAAUGUUGUGUUUACAGGUGACACAAAACCAGGUAAGGUGAAACAAUGUGAGCAGGAUAUUACUUUGCUGCAGAGGGAUUUGCCUGAGAGAUAAUUGCAUGAGAAAAAGCUAUAACUUAAUUAUCUCUCAGGUACAAAACAAUAUACAAUAUUUUAAAACAUCCCAACAAUACAUUUGAAUAACUUCAGAACCCCACAAAAGUCAUAUCACCAAAUAGGUUGGAUCUGAGCAAACACUUUGCCAAAAUAUAUCGCUCAGAUCCCUUUGUUGGUUCAGGAAUGUCAUUCAAAUUAAGUUUUGACCGGACGGCCACAAAGUGAUGCCCCAAAACAGUUCCAGAGAAAACAAGGCAAUGACAGGUCAUCUUUCAGGGUUUUUCACACGAACACUGAUGAAUCCAUUCCCUGGCUGUUAGGGUACAAAUGCUCUCCCUGUUCGGUAGUUUGUGCCUGUUGAACGCCAUUCUCCUAACUGUUCUGGAUGUUGCAUGGGCAGCAGUACCAGUUUCCCGGGUGUUCGCCGGGUCACAUAUCUGAAAAUAGUUCCACGCCGUCGACGACCAUGUACUGCUGCCCGCGUUCAGGAGACAAAAUGGCCACACAGGGAAAGCACGUGAACUAAUAACAAAUUUGUGGUUAACAGCCAGGUGUGGUCGUGAUUAUGAAGUGCGAACAAGUGGCCACACAGCAAGGAGGUAUACUGACAGCCAAACAAAGGGAAUAAAAGUAUGUUUCGGUUCUCCAUUCCGCUACAAAUACAUAGAAUGCAAAGUAGAGCAUUUAGACUGGUAGAAUGGAGAUUUAGUCUAGGACAAAGGAAAGUCUUUUUUUUUUUACCAUAAGAACAAUAAGGACCUGGAAUUCUCUUCCUGAAAAAGUGGAUUUAUCAGCAUCUGUACAGAUGUCUAAACAGCAACUGGAAGAAUACUUGCAAAAACAUAAUAUUCAAGAAAAUACAUUUUAAUAAGUGGGGUAACAGCUUCUUUAUCCAAGGGAAAUCUGAGUGCCAUUCUUGGGUCAAGAAGGAAUUUUUCCCUAGUUUGUUGCAAAAUUGGAAACUGCUUUUUAUUUGUUUUUGUUUUUUUCACUUUUUAAAGCAUUUUGCUAACUGUAUUGCUUAGGGUUAUUUCAAUAUUUACAUAGGUGGAGUAUCUCACAGCAAGUUAGACAACAGCAAUACAAUAAAAUGCAGGAUGGGGUGAUCUAAAAUGAAGAAAUAAAAGACAAAAUACUAGUGCAAUAUUGGCUGUAUGAAAAGCCAAAAUACAUUGAAUAUGUAUAUAGCACUCACAAAAGUUUAAUAUGCAGGCAUAGUAAGAUCUAAAUAUAAAUAUAUAUAAAUCUAAUUUCCUCCAUGCCUAUUUUUUUAUUAUAGCCAACUUCUCUCCAGUCUUUUUUUUUUUUUACUGAUUUAAUGGCCCAAAAGAAUAAACCCUCUCUGUUUUGAGUAUGUAUAAUCUUGAAAUGUUGAAAACCACUAUUUGUUUCCAGGCCCUUUUUAAUAUUCCUAAUGUCUUCUGCUAUUCUAACAUUUGUUGCCUUAUAGUUCUGCCUUCAUACAGGAGGUUGCAGGGGCAUUUUAAGAUGUAUAUCACUCCUUUGGAGUGGCAAGUAAGAUGAUCACUCAUUAUAUAUAUAUAUAUAUAUAUAUAUAUAUAUAUAUAUAUAUAUAUUGACAUUGUGUGUGUGGGAUUUCACACAUGUGUAGAGUAUCACCUAUUUACCAUUACACACCACCAUUUUGUGCACUUUGAUUUUUUUAAUGUAAAUAUUUGCUGCUGGCUUCUAGUGCUGACAGUGGGCAGAUAAUACUUAAAAUUAUGUAACAAUAGUAUUCAUACUGCUGGAUACAUUUGGUCCCUAAUUAGUUUAAAACUGGUGAUUUGUGAAUAAUAUACCAAAUCCUAUACUUUAUAAAGGAUUUGGCGAUGGCUGCAGAUUCACUUGGGUCAACCAAAUCCUGACCCUAUUUUGCUGUAUUAACUAUGAGACAAAAUCUGGUGUUUAGUGAAUAAUGCUGUAGUUUUUAUUCAUUAUGUUCAAAGACAUAACAUUGAUUUUAUAUUUUCAUUGUAAACUGCUGUCAAUAUUUUAUGCUUUUUGUCAUUAUUUUAUACCUAGUUUUACAUAAAACACAGGUUUUAUUAUAUUUAAAGAUAUAUCACUGGUUUUAUUUGUUUUUAUUUCAGUUGUGACUCACUCUUUUUGGCGUUAUUUAUAAACCUUUAUCAGAGAUAACCAUAUUCAUAACUUUCUGUGAUAAAUUUGCAUCAGUGGCUCCACAAUGUUCCAAGUUAUCGGUAUAUAUACAGCUCUAUCACAGCAUGUACAGAGCACAAAUAGACACCUUAUAUCUGACCAUGAACAAAUUACUGUCUAUAUGUUGUGCAUUGAUCUGGAUCACAUGUAUGUAUCAGUUCUGCUUAUUUGUCAUUUAUAAUGUUUACUCAGUUAGUUUCUCACAUGUAUUUUCACUCUCCUAGAUGCUGAAUCUCAGACACUAUUGCUGACACCAUCAAACCCUGCAGUGAAUGUUGGGCAAAGUGUAACUUUUACCUGUAACAUUGGAGUUAAGGAUGGAGAUGCAGCACAUUUAUUAAAACAGAUGCCAGGAGAAGCUCCCUGGCUUAUUAUAUACAAUCACCAUUCAUAUUCUUCUCCAAGAUAUGGACCUGGAAUAUCUUCAGAUCGUUUUACUGCCUCCAUUAACAGUGCAGCAACAGAAUAUUACUUUACCAUACGUAAAACAGAGAUGGCAGACACUGCUCGGUAUUAUUGUGUGAAGUGGUUUGGCAGUAAUACUGGAUAC
rnacentral:lncRNA from 1 species